rnacentral:lncRNA from 1 species
AACAUAGCUUGUGUUGCGGCCAAUCGCCUCGUCGUCCGAUCGACGGGGAACGUGCACCUGCAAAAACGAGAAGUCCACACUGACCGGAGGCGGCUCCGGCAGGGACCCUCCGACGGUCAAGUCAGAGAGGUGACUGGGCAACAGUGAAAUGAAGACAGAGAGCUCGAUCGAGGGAGAGAGAGGGAGAGAGGAGCGAGCCUGUGGUUUUGGAGUCGAGAAGUGGGGGGAGCGGAUCCCUUGCACUGUUGCCUUCUCCGAUUUAUAUAGUG